GAGGCGUGGCCGAGUGGUUGAAGGCGGCAGUCUUGAAAACUGUUAACGUUCACGCGUUCGUGGGUUCAAAUCCUACCGCCUCC
rnacentral:tRNA from 1 species